rnacentral:tRNA from 6 species
GGAGGUGUAGCUCAGCUGGGAGAGCGCUUGCAUCACACGCAAGAAGUCGCAGGUUCGAGCCCUGUCAUCUCCA